CCUGAUAGAAGUCUGACGGAGCACGCCGCGUGAGUGAUGAAGGCUUUCGGGUCGUAAAACUCUGUUGUUAGGGAAGAACAAGUGCUAGUUGAAUAAGCUGGCACCUUGACGGUACCUAACCAGAAAGCCACGGCUAACUACGUGCCAGCAGCCGCGGUAAUACGUAGGUGGCAAGCGUUAUCCGGAAUUAUUGGGCGUAAAGCGCGCGCAGGUGGUUUCUUAAGUCUGAUGUGAAAGCCCACGGCUCAACCGUGGAGGGUCAUUGGAAACUGGGAGACUUGAGUGCAGAAGAGGAAAGUGGAAUUCCAUGUGUAGCGGUGAAAUGCGUAGAGAUAUGGAGGAACACCAGUGGCGAAGGCGACUUUCUGGUCUGUAACUGACACUGAGGCGCGAAAGCGUGGGGAGCAAACAGGAUUAGAUACCCUGGUAGUCCACGCCGUAAACGAUGAGUGCUAAGUGUUAGAGGGUUUCCGCCCUUUAGUGCUGAAGUUAACGCAUUAAGCACUCCGCCUGGGGAG
rnacentral:rRNA from 1 species